rnacentral:rRNA from 1 species
AUUGAACGCUGGCGGCAUGCUUUACACAUGCAAGUCGAACGGUAACAGGCCGCAAGGUGCUGACGAGUGGCGAACGGGUGAGUAAUGCAUCGGAACGUGCCCAGUCGUGGGGGAUAACGCAGCGAAAGCUGUGCUAAUACCGCAUACGAUCUAUGGAUGAAAGCGGGGGACCGUAAGGCCUCGCGCGAUUGGAGCGGCCGAUGUCAGAUUAGCUAGUUGGUGGGGUAAAGGCCCACCAAGGCGACGAUCUGUAGCUGGUCUGAGAGGACGACCAGCCACAAUGGGACUGAGACACGGCCCAGACUCCUACGGGAGGCAGCAGUGGGGAAUUUUGGACAAUGGGCGCAAGCCUGAUCCAGCAAUGCCGCGUGCAGGAAGAAGGCCUUCGGGUUGUAAACUGCUUUUGUACGGAACGAAACGGUCUGGGUUAAUACCCUGGGUUAAUGACGGUACCGUAAGAAUAAGCACCGGCUAACUACGUGCCAGCAGCCGCCGUAA